UACGGAGGGUGCAAGCGUUAUCCGGAUUCACUGGGUUUAAAGGGUGCGUAGGUGGUUCGGUAAGUCCGUGGGGAAAUCCCCGAGCUUAACUCGGGAACUGCCGUGGAUACUAUCGAUCUUGAAUACUGUGGAGGUAAGCGGAAUAUGUCAUGUAGCGGUGAAAUGCUUAGAUAUGACAUAGAACACCGAUGGCGAAGGCAGCUUGCUACGCAGUUAUUGACGCUGAGGCACGAAAGCGUGGGGAGCAAACAGG
rnacentral:rRNA from 1 species